UCAGAUUGAACGCUGGCGGCAGGCCUAACACAUGCAAGUCGAGCGGUAGAGAGAAGCUUGCUUCUCUUGAGAGCGGCGGACGGGUGAGUAAUGCCUAGGAAUCUGCCUGGUAGUGGGGGAUAACGUUCGGAAACGGACGCUAAUACCGCAUACGUCCUACGGGAGAAAGCAGGGGACCUUCGGGCCUUGCGCUAUCAGAUGAGCCUAGGUCGGAUUAGCUAGUUGGUGAGGUAAUGGCUCACCAAGGCGACGAUCCGUAACUGGUCUGAGAGGAUGAUCAGUCACACUGGAACUGAGACACGGUCCAGACUCCUACGGGAGGCAGCAUUGGGGAAUAUUGGAACAAUGGGCUGAAAGCCUGAAUCCAGCCAUGCCGCUGUGUGUGAAAAAAGGUCUUCGCGAUUGUAAAUCACUUUGAACU
rnacentral:rRNA from 1 species